rnacentral:misc_RNA from 1 species
GCAAACUUGGUCAUUUAGAGGAAGUAAAAGUCGUAACAAGGUUUCCGUAGGUGAACCUGCGGAAGGAUCAUUACAGAUUCAUCAGGAGGAAAGGGAUGUUGCUGGUACCCCUCUGGGUGCAUGGUGCACUCCUGGACCUCCAUCUUUUAAAACUCUCCCUGUGCACUCUUUGUAGAUGGGAGUGAAACACCUCUCAUCUAUGUUAUUUGUCAUAACACCCUUGAUAAAGAAGGAAUAUAACAUUAAUGAUGUUUGACAACUUUCAACAACGGAUCUCUUGGCUCUCGCAUCGAUGAAGAACGCAGC